UGGCAAAAUACGAAGGUUUCAUUGGCUGUCCAACAAAUUUGGGCGCAAUCACCUUGGAGACGGAACGGACGAUGGAAUCAGCCCAGACUUAAUCCAUUUUUGGGGUAUGUGAAAUUUAAUUUUCUUGUGGUUUCAAUCGGGUCUGAUGCCUCGCCUAAUUAUGGUCUGUCGUUGUUAAGUUUACGGCUCAUUCUGAUAUCUGAUGUCUUCCGGGUAUACCACCAAAGAUCAGCAAAUCGAAACGAAAUCUUUUCUUUGUUAAUUUUUUAUCGUAGGGCUGGAAUGUCCUAAUUUGAUUUACUAUUGGGACUUCUGGGUCGAAUUUGUCUCGAUUUCUAUUAACUUUUUUUUCACUUUCCGCCAUUUCAGAUACAUUUUUAUUCCCAUUACUACUGCGAGUAAUCCGAUUUAAGUUGUGGGCAUAAUUAUGUUUGUUUGUUUCAUCGAAUAAACAGGAAUACGAAUUUCUUGUUUUUCGCCUCUCCUCUGCUGUUACUCCAUUGGCAUUUCGUAAUUUUCAUUUCACUUUAAAUUUCCAUCCUCCAUUUCCAUUUUCCUAGUAAUUUGAAAAAAGGUGGGCGGGGGCGGGGCUUUGUUGUCGUAGACUUGGCCAGAGUAAUUUUGUUUCCAUCCUAGAAUAUUAGACCAUUGGAGGUACAGUGAGGACCCUUAAUCCAUUUAAUCAGGACGAAUUCCGGUUUUUCCAUUGUUUGGUAUCCAUUAUCAAUUCCUAUCAUUUGGCCGACCGUUCUGGAAUUCUAUUCCUGUAUCCUGAAGUGGAAUUUAUCAUUAGAAUCUAUCGAAUCCGACAAUUUUAAUACAAUUUAAUUUGGUUGAUAUCUUACCUACAAACGGACCGACACGGGCUUUCCUCUAGAUUUAAUUUCUCGUCUCUAAUCUUCAUCUCCAAUCACUUGUUUGAACCUAACCACAGUUUGUUUGAUAUAAGUGUUAACUUUAAUAUAAUUUUAAUUUUUGUCUCUCGAUACCCACCACCUAUUAAUCAUCAAUCAGCAUCAGCACAGGGGAAUAGAGAGACACUUCUACUCCCCUAAUGUUAAGGAUGUUCAGCAAUGAAUUUAUACGCAGAGUAGUUAAAGUUAAAAGAAACGAUGGUGAAUCUCCUCCGAUUAUUUCCCGUCAAAAAGUUAUUGACUCAGUAAUUGCACGAUUACGUUACAUAAUUUUUCGUAGUCGUUAUUCUGAUGCAAGCAUUGCUCAAUUGCAUUGGAAAUAAUGAUUUGUUUUUUAAAUGUUCUAAAAAUGAGAAAGUUAAUUGCAAAUGACGUCAUUCCGUUAGUUUUAUUCCUUAUUUAGGCUACAUCCAGCAUACACCGUGCCUCUAGCCGUUAACUGUCAAAACUUCCUGCUUUAGCAAGUGUCAAUUUGUGUUUCAUUUUUAUUUGGCUUAUAAAAAUUUCUACUCUCUACUCUGGAUGCCGAUUGGCUGUCGAAUGCUCACUGUCGAAUGAUGGCGGACAUGAAAACGACUAGCAGCACUAGAUACCGUCAAAACUAAGGGAUGUAAGAAAUACUCUUCCCUCGAUCAUGGAUCCCCUUGGAAAAAUAAGGAAUCUAGCUACUACCUCUUAUUUUUAUCUCGUUCUCCAUCCAUUUAAAUUUUUAAAUUUUCUUUCUAGUUACGACGCGGCUGGAGAAACCAAGUGAUGUCCGGUCGACGGAAGCAAAGUUAGCAAAAUCAGAGUAUCGGAAUUACCAGCGGCAUCCGCUUGAUCCAGCGAACAGAGCAAAUGAACUACAUCCAAAUAAAGAGACUGGAUACUGAAAUGUAUGGUUUUAAACAAGCGUGUUGGCUAGAGCUAUUUGAUUCAACCUAUGGGAUUCACCAUGAUCAUUGUGGAAUCUGUCAUCACUUUCAGGUGCUGUGCUUCCAGAUAGCCAGGACCGAAGACAAGGGUCAAUCCUUUUACAGUCCAAAGUUGUAAUCAACAAGGCCAAACAGAUAGCAACAUGAUCGACCAGGUACGACAGGAAAGCAGCAUCAGCCUCCAGUUGAAAAGCUAGUCGCUGAUGGACUGAUUCAACAAGCAAAUCCAACAGCGACGCCCUAUGCAGUUGCUGCUGCCACGUCCUAUUCGGCACCAACCCCAUCCCAAAUCGCUAAUCUAAGUGUAGAAGCAUCGCCUCUAGUUUGACUGCCCAGCAGAUUCAGACGCUUAUCCCUUCACCAAGUCAUUCCUCAUCCAAGGAACGUGGAACUGCGAUCGUGGUUCCAGCAUUCUGCACAAGUUAGAAGAAAAGACAAAGCUACAAAGUCCAGCGUUCUGAGCAAGACGAAGCAAUGAAAUGUUUCACAGCGCAUCACAAACAACUUAGCUGAAGAUUCACAAGCGGAUACCAACGAUGGCAAAAGAAGAGCGUGAAGUAGGAAGAAAUUGCCUCAAACAAACUAAAAAAAGUGAAGAAGGUUUUGAUGUGCAGUUUCGUUAACAACAAAAAAAACCAAUGCAGACUUAUCCAAUCUACCUUGAAGACAAAAUGGAAAAGUCUUCCUUACAAGGGUGGAGAAAAACCGAAGCUACAAAUUAACACACCCAUUCUAUUUUGCUUCAUGUCAAGCUUUUAUAAAUUUUAAGUGUGAUUGAUAAAUAUUUAUGUAUUGUGUAAAAACUAAGUUGAAAAAUAAAACACAUGAAAACAUU